CUUGCUUCUCUUGAGAGCGGCGGACGGGUGAGUAAUGCCUAGGAAUCUGCCUGGUAGUGGGGGAUAACGUUCGGAAACGGACGCUAAUACCGCAUACGUCCUACGGGAGAAAGCAGGGGACCUUCGGGCCUUGCGCUAUCAGAUGAGCCUAGGUCGGAUUAGCUAGUUGGUGGGGUAAUGGCUCACCAAGGCGACGAUCCGUAACUGGUCUGAGAGGAUGAUCAGUCACACUGGAACUGAGACACGGUCCAGACUCCUACGGGAGGCAGCAGUGGGGAAUAUUGGACAAUGGGCGAAAGCCUGAUCCAGCCAUGCCGCGUGUGUGAAGAAGGUCUUCGGAUUGUAAAGCACUUUAAGUUGGGAGGAAGGGUUGUAGAUUAAUACUCUGCAAUUUUGACGUUACCGACAGAAUAAGCACCGGCUAACUCUGUGCCAGCAGCCGCGGUAAUACAGAGGGUGCAAGCGUUAAUCGGAAUUACUGGGCGUAAAGCGCGCGUAGGUGGUUUGUUAAGUUGGAUGUGAAAUCCCCGGGCUCAACCUGGGAACUGCAUUCAAAACUGACUGACUAGAGUAUGGUAGAGGGUGGUGGAAUUUCCUGUGUAGCGGUGAAAUGCGUAGAUAUAGGAAGGAACACCAGUGGCGAAGGCGACCACCUGGACUAAUACUGACACUGAGGUGCGAAAGCGUGGGGAGCAAACAGGAUUAGAUACCCUGGUAGUCCACGCCGUAAACGAUGUCAACUAGCCGUUGGAAGCCUUUGAGCUUU
rnacentral:rRNA from 1 species